CGGAUGUAGUGUAAUGGUAACACAUUAGCCUUCCAAGCUGACAUAGCGGGUUCGAGUCCCGUCAUCCG
rnacentral:tRNA from 1 species